GUGCCAGCAGCCGCGGUAAUACCGGCAGCCCGAGUGAUGGCCGAUAUUAUUGGGCCUAAAGCGUCCGUGGCUGGCUGAAUAAGUCCGUCGGGAAAUCCACGUGCUUAACGCGUGGGCGACCGGCGGAAACUGCACAGCUUGGGACCGGAAGGCUCGAAGGGUACGUUCGGGGUAGGAGUGAAAUCCCAUAAUCCCGCACGGACCACCGAUGGCGAAAGCACUUCGAGAAAACGGACCCGACAGUGAGGGACGAAAGCCAGGGUCUCCAACCGGAUUAGAUACCCCGGUAGUCC
rnacentral:rRNA from 1 species